UCUUUUCAUUUUCUUUUUUAAAUAGGAUCAUAGAUGUGAAGCUGAAAGAAAAGUAUAGAUCAGAAUCCCUAACACCUUCAAUUUUCAAGUAAGGAAUCUGAGACUCAGAGCCUUACCCAAAGUCACUCAGCUAAUGAAUAGUAUUAACCAGGACUGGAAUUCAGAUCAUUUGACUCCAAAGUCAACAUUCUCCUACACUAUACCCUGUCUUUGUUCCCUCUUCUAGUGCUUUCUUUACUGAGGCACUAAGGCUUUGUGAGCUGGUUUCCUGUGAUGUCUCUUCAGUACAAUGCAAGGUUCUGUAGUUUGCUAUUCGUAAUCUAACUCUGGCAAAUGUCUUGGGGAAAAUGGGAAGCAAAAGGAAAAUGCGUCUGAGUCAGGCUGAAUGAAUUCUGCAACUCCUGCUGAAGUCAGCCAGAUCUGUGGACAACAGGAUUCACCGCUUUGUCCACAUUUACUGGGAAAUAUAACAAAAGAAGAGGAAAAACCAGUGAAGAUCAGUUUAACCUAUCCAUCAAGGAAGAGAAGAGCCAAGUGGAUGAAGGAAGUCAUAGAAGACAGAAGGCAUCAAUGGUGAGGGAACACAUUCUAGGCAUGGAGGAUAGCUAGAGAAAAUACCCACAGAUGAGGGAUGAAGAGUCUUGUUCAUGGAACAGCAAGAAGGCUUGUGUCAUUGGCUGAAAAAAUUGUGGGGAAUUAGUGUUGUAUAUGUAUGGGAAGGCUAUAGGUUAUGAAGGGCUUUUAGCCCCUAAUAAAAGAAAAUUUUGCAUUUGAUAAUCA
rnacentral:lncRNA from 1 species